rnacentral:rRNA from 1 species
GACGAACGCUGGCGGCGUGCUUAACACAUGCAAGUCGAACGAAGUGGCGAACGGGUGAGUAACGCGUAAUCAACCUGCCCUUCAGAGGGGGACAACAGGUGGAAACGACUGCUCAUACAGCAUACUGACGGAGGGGAACGAGUCUGAUUAGCUAGUUGGAGGGGUAACGGCCAACCAAGGCGAUGAUCAGUAGCCGUCCUGAUAGGAUGAACGGCCACAUUGGGACUGAGCCACGGCCCAGACUCCUACGGGAGGCAGCAGUGGGGAAUCUUCCGCAAUGGACGAAAGUCUGACGGAGCAACGCCGCGUGAGUGAUGACGGCCUUCGGGUUGUAAAGCUCUGUUAAUCGGGACGCGGUACCGGAAUAGAAAGCCACGGCUAACUACGUGCCAGCAGCCGCGGUAAUAC